rnacentral:rRNA from 1 species
ACGCUGGCGGCACGCCUAACACAUGCAAGUCGAACGAAGUAGCAAUACUUAGUGGCAGACGGGUGAGUAACAUGUAGGUAUCUGCCCUUUGGCCUGGAAUAACACGAGGAAACUUGUGCUAAUACCGGAUAAGUCUUUACGGAGAAAGCUUUAUGCACCAUUGGAUGAGCCCGCACUUGAUUAGUUUGUUGGUGGGGUAAUGGCCUACCAAGACUGUGAUCAAUAGCUGAUUUGAGAGGAUGAUCAGCCACAUUGGGACUGAGACACGGCCCAAACUCCUACGGGAGGCAGCAGUGGGGAAUCUUGCACAAUGGAGGAAACUCUGAUGCAGCGAUGCCGCGUGAGUGAAGAAGGCCUUUGGGUUGUAAAGCUCUUUCGUCGGGGAAGAAAAUGACUGUACCCGAAUAAGAAGGUCCGGCUAACUUCGUGCCAGCAGCCGCGGUAAUACGAAGGGACCUAGCGUAGUUCGGAAUUACUGGGCUUAAAGAGUUCGUAGGUGGUUGAAAAAGUUAGUGGUGAAAUCCCCAGAGCUUAACUCUGGAACUGCCAUUAAAACUUUUCAGCUAGAGUAUGAUAGAGGAAAGCAGAAUUUCUAGUGUAGAGGUGAAAUUCGUAGAUAUUAGAAAGAAUACCAAUUGCGAAGGCAGCUUUCUGGAUCAUUACUGACACUGAGGAACGAAAGCAUGGGUAGCGAAGAGGAUUAGAUACCCUCGUAGUCCAUGCCGUAAACGAUGUGUGUUAGACGUUGGAAAUUUAUUUUCAGUGUCGCAGGGAAACCGAUAAACACACCGCCUGGGGAGUACGACCGCAAGGUUAAAACUCAAAUGAAUUGACGGGGACCCGCACAAGUAGUGGAGCAUGUGGUUUAAUUCGAAGAUACGCGCAGAACCUUACCAACACUUGACAUGUUCGUCGCGACUCUAAGAGAUUAGAGUUUUCGGUUCGGCCGGACGAAACACAGGUGCUGCAUGGCUGUCGUCAGCUCGUGUCGUGAGAUGUUGGGUUAAGUCCCGCAACGAGCGCAACCCUCACUUUUAGUUGCCAUCAUUAAGUUGGGCACUCUGAAAGAACUGCCAGUGAUAAGCUGGAGGAAGGUGGGGAUGACGUCAAGUCCUCAUGGCCCUUACGUGUUGGGCUACACACGUGCUACAAUGGUAUCUACAACAGGAAGCAAGACUGCGAAGUUAAGCAAAUCCCUAAAAGAUACCUCAGUUCGGAUUGCACUCUGCAACUCGAGUGCAUGAAGCUGGAAUUACUAGUAAUCGUGGAUCAGCGUGCCACGGUGAAUGCGUUCCCGGGUCUUGUACUCACCGC